UGGGGAAUUUUGGACAAUGGGCGCAAGCCUGAUCCAGCCAUACCGCGUGAGUGAAGAAGGCCUUCGGGUUGUAAAGCUCUUUCAGACGGAAAGAAACGGUUACGGCUAAUACCCGUGACUAAUGACGGUACCGUAAGAAGAAGCACCGGCUAACUACGUGCCAGCAGCCGCGGUAAUACGUAGGGUGCGAGCGUUAAUCGGAAUUACUGGGCGUAAAGCGUGCGCAGGCGGUUUGGUAAGACAGAUGUGAAAUCCCCGGGCUUAACCUGGGAACUGCAUUUGUGACUGCCAGACUAGAGUGUAGCAGAGGGGGGUAGAAUUCCACGUGUAGCAGUGAAAUGCGUAGAUAUGUGGAGGAAUACCGAUGGCGAAGGCAGCCCCCUGGGCUAACACUGACGCUCAUGCACGAAAGCGUGGGGAGCAAACAGGAUU
rnacentral:rRNA from 1 species